ACGGGUGAGUAAUGUCUGGGAAACUGCCUGAUGGAGGGGGGUAACUACUGGAAACGGUAGCUAAUACCGCAUAACGUCGCAAGACCAAAGAGGGGGACCUUCGGGCCUCUUGCCAUCGGAUGUGCCCAGAUGGGAUUAGCUAGUAGGUGGGGUAACGGCUCACCUAGGCGACGAUCCCUAGCUGGUCUGAGAGGAUGGCCAGCCACACUGGAACUGAGACACGGUCCAG
rnacentral:rRNA from 1 species